CCUACGGGAGGCAGCAGUGAGGAAUAUUGGGCAAUGGGGGCAACCCUGACCCAGCCAUGCCGCGUGAGUGCAGAAUGUCUUAGGAGUGUAAAGCUCUUUCGGACGUGACGAUGAUGACGGUAGCGUCUAAAGAAUCUACGUCAAACUUCGUGCCAGCAGCCGCGGUAAUACGAAGGGUGCGAGCGUUGUUCGGAAUGACUGGGCGUUAAGGGAGUGUAGGCGGAUAUGUAAGAUAGUGGUGAAAUGCCGGGGCUCAACCCCGGAAUUGCCGUUAUGACCUUGUAUCUAGAGUAAUGGAGAGGAUAGCGGAAUACCCAGUGUAGAGGUGAAAUUCGUAGAUGUUGGGUAGAACACCGGUGGCGAAGGCAGCUAUCUGGCCAUUUACUGACACUGAGGCUCGAAAGCAUGGGGAUCAAACAGGAUUAGAUACCCCAGUAGUC
rnacentral:rRNA from 1 species